rnacentral:rRNA from 1 species
AUUGAACGCUGGCGGCAGGCCUAACACAUGCAAGUCGAACGGUAACAGGAAGACGCUUGCUUCUUUGCUGACGAGUGGCGGACGGGUGAGUAAUGUCUGGGAAACUGCCUGAUGGAGGGGGAUAACUACUGGAAACGGUAGCUAAUACCGCAUAACGUCGCAAGACCAAAGAGGGGGACCUUCGGGCCUCUUGCCAUCGGAUGUGCCCAGAUGGGAUUAGCUUGUUGGUGGGGUAACGGCUCACCAAGGCGACGAUCCCUAGCUGGUCUGAGGGGAUGACCAGCCACACUGGAACUGAGACACGGUCCAGACUCCUACGGGAGGCAGCAGUGGGGAAUAUUGCACAAAGGGCGCAAGCCUGAUGCAGCCAUGCCGCGUGUAUGAAGAAGGCCUUCGGGUUGUAAAGUACUUUCAGCGGGGAGGAAGGGAGUAAAGUUAAUACCUUUGCUCAUUGACGUUACCCGCAGAAGAAGCACCGGCUAACUCCGUG